ensembl:lncRNA
AUGCUCUCUUGUUUUUUUAUGCGGGUCUUCGCAACCACACACCUGCUUCACUCUCUCAGUACUCUCAUCAACACACCACCUGCUUCACUCUCUCAGUACUCUCAUCAACACACCACCUGCUUCACUCUCUCAGUACUAUCAUCAACACACCACCUGCUUCACUCUCUCAGUACUAUCAUCAACACACCACCUGCUUCACUCUCUCAGUACUCUCAUCAACACACCACCUGCUUCACUCUCUCAGUACUCUCAUCAACACACCACCUGCUUCACUCUCUCAGUACUCUCAUCAACACACCACCUGCUUCACUCUCUCAGUACUAUCAUCAACACACCACCUGCUUCUCUCUCUCUCUCAGUACUCUCAUCAACACACCACCUGCUUCACUCUCUCAGUACUCUCCUCAACACACCACCUGCUUCACUCUCUCAGUACUCUCAUCAACACACCACCUGCUUCACUCUCUCAGUACUCUCAUCAACACACCACCUGCUUCACUCUCUCAGUACUCUCAUCAACACAUCACCUGCUUCACUCUCUCAGUACUCUCAUCAACACACCACCUGCUUCACUCUCUCAGUACUCUCAUCAACACACCACCUGCUUCACUCUCUCAGUACUCUCAUCAACACACCACCUGCUUCACUCUCUCAGUACUCUCAUCAACACACCACCUGCUUCACUCUCUCAGUACUCUCCUCAACACACCACCUGCUUCACUCUCUCAGUACUCUCCUCAACACACCACCUGCUUCACUCUCUCAGUACUCUCAUCAACACACCACCUGCUUCACUCUCUCAGUACUCUCAUCAACACACCACCUGCUUCACUCUCUCAGUACUCUCAUCAACACACCACCUGCUUCACUCUCUCAGUACUCUCAUCAACACACCACCUGCAUCACUCUCUCAGUACUCUCAUCAACACACCACCUGCUUCACUCUCUCAGUACUCUCAUCAACACACCACCUGCUUCACUCUCUCAGUACUCUCAUCAACACACCACCUGCUUCACUCUCUCAGUACUCUCAUCAACACAUCACCUGCUUCACUCUCUCAGUACUCUCAUCAACACACCACCUGCUUCACUCUCUCAGUACUAUCAUCAACACACCACCUGCUUCACUCUCUCAGUACUCUCAUCAACACACCACCUGCUUCACUCUCUCAGUACUCUCAUCAACACACCACCUGCUUCACUCUCUCAGUACUAUCAUCAACACACCACCUGCUUCACUCUCUCAGUACUCUCAACACACCACCUGCUUCACUCUCUCAGUACUCUCAACACACCACCUGCUUCACUCUCUCAGUACUCUCAACACACCACCUGCUUCACUCUCUCAGUACUAUCAUCAACACACCACCUGCUUCACUCUCUCAGUACUCUCAUCAACACACCACCUGCUUCACUCUCUCAGUACUCUCAUCAACACACCACCUGCUUCACUCUCUCAGUACUAUCAUCAACACACCACCUGCUUCACUCUCUCAGUACUCUCAUCAACACAUCACCUGCUUCACUCUCAGUACUCUCAUCAACACAUCACCUGCUUCACUCUCAGUACUCUCAUCAACACACCACCUGCUUCACUCUCUCAGUACUCUCAUCAACACACCACCUGCUUCACUCUCUCAGUAUUCUCAUCAACACACCACCUGCUUCACUCUCUCAGUACUCUCCUCAACACACCACCUGCUUCACUCUCUCAGUACUCUCAACACACCACCUGCUUCACUCUCUCAGUACUCUCAACACACCACCUGCUUCACUCUCUCAGUACUCUCCUCAACACACCACCUGCUUCACUCUCUCAGUACUCUCAUCAACACACCACCUGCUUCUCUCUCAGUACUAUCAUCAACACACCACCUGCUUCACUCUCUCAGUACUCUCAUCAACACAUCACCUGCUUCACUCUCUCAGUACUAUCAUCAACACACCACCUGCUUCACUCUCUCAGUACUAUCAUCAACACAUCACCUGCUUCACUCUCUCAGUACUCUCAUCAACACAUCACCUGCUUCACUCUCUCAGUACUCUCAUCAACACAUCACCUGCUUCACUCUCUCAGUACUCUCAUCAACACAUCACCUGCUUCACUCUCUCAGUACUCUCAUCAACACACCACCUGCUUCACUCUCUCAGUAUUCUCAUCAACACACCACCUGCUUCACUCUCUCAGUAUUCUCAUCAACACACCACCUGCUUCACUCUCUCAGUACUCUCCUCAACACACCACCUGCUUCACUCUCUCAGUACUCUCAACACACCACCUGCUUCACUCUCUCAGUACUCUCAUCAACACACCACCUGCUUCACUCUCUCAGUAUUCUCAUCAACACACCACCUGCUUCACUCUCUCAGUACUCUCAUCAACACACCACCUGCUUCACUCUCUCAGUACUCUCAACACACCACCUGCUUCACUCUCUCAGUACUAUCAUCAACACACCACCUGCUUCACUCUCUCAGUACUCUCAUCAACACAUCACCUGCUUCACUCUCUCAGUACUAUCAUCAACACACCACCUGCUUCACUCUCUCAGUACUCUCAUCAACACAUCACCUGCUUCACUCUCUCAGUACUAUCAUCAACACACCACCUGCUUCACUCUCUCAGUACUAUCAUCAACACAUCACCUGCUUCACUCUCUCAGUACUCUCAUCAACACAUCACCUGCUUCACUCUCUCAGUACUCUCAUCAACACAUCACCUGCUUCACUCUCUCAGUACUCUCAACACACCACCUGAUUCACUCUCUCAGUACUCUCAACACACCACCUGCUUCACUCUCUCAGUACUCUCAUCAACACACCACCUGCUUCUCUCUCUCUCUCUCAGUACUCUCAUCAACACACCACCUGCUUCACUCUCUCAGUACUCUCAUCAACACACCACCUGCUUCACUCUCUCAGUAUUCUCAUCAACACACCACCUGCUUCACUCUCUCAGUAUUCUCAUCAACACACCACCUGCUUCACUCUCUCAGUACUCUCAUCAACACACCACUUGCUUCUCUCUCUCUCUCAGUACUCUCAUCAACACAUCACCUGCUUCACUCUCUCAGUACUAUCAUCAACACAUCACCUGCUUCACUCUCAGUACUCUCAUCAACACACCACCUGCUUCUCUCUCUCUCUCUCUCUCUCAGUACUCUCAUCAACUAUAGAUUUGUGGGCUCAUGCAUUAUUUCCAAGCUGCUGAAAUAAAUAUACUAAAAUAUAUAUUUUUCAUAUCUUAAAAAAAGACAAACUGUUUUAGUGUGUGGGAAAAUAACCAGGUUCUAUUUUGUAUUAGUGUAUUUAAUAUCAGACAUUACUGUAGUGUGAUUAUGUACAGGUAUCCACCCUCCCUUAUCUGAUUUUACAUUUUCUUGUGAGUGAAAUAUUGAGGACUCUUGCUGCUGAUUGGGUCUGAGAAGGAAAGAGGGCUGGCCCAGGGCUGUUGCUAUGGGAAUUGUCCCAGCAACCACUAGCCGUAGUGGAAACGGAACAAAAUGGUGGGUGGUUGGGAAGGAGCGGACGUUGCUGCGUUCUGGUUUCAACUUUAAAACAUGAGCGCAGGUGCUUCAUGACAAACCUUACUAGCAUGUUUGGCUGUAUCAUGUUUCUUUGGUACUGUAUUUUGAAUGACCGUUUUAAUUUAUUGAAAUAAACAUACCAAAACAUUCUCAAACUACUCGUUGUUUUCACAUUUAUGGAAUUAAUGUGUUUUUGUUGAUUUUCAGUACACUUGAUUUGUCACAAUGUAUUUGUUUCAUACUAGUCAACUCACAGUAAAGACUUGUCACCAUCUUACCAGCAUUAGUUACUGAGCGUGUUGUUGAGUCGACGUUAAGUGUGUGGGUAAAACAGAGUUUGGUUUUAUGUUAAUAUAAAAUGUUUUGUUUGAUCGAGAUGGUGUCGGACAACCUAUAGACCUGCUGUCUGACCUUAUUUCUUUCCCUUCCCAUAAUUGUGUCGACUGACACACACACACCACACAAUGCCAUUCACCAAGGCAGGUCUUGCAGGUUUUUGCUCAAACCCUAAUCUAGAGCACCUGAUUCUAAUUAAAGGUUGACCGAUUAAUCGGAAUGGACGAUUAAUUAGGGCCGAGUUAAAGUUUUCAUAACAAUCGGAAAUCAGUAUUUUUUGGGCGCCGAUUUAGCCAAUUUUCGUUCUUUUUUUAAACAUUUAUUUUAC